CUCAUCCGAUCUUUCAAGACCAAAAAACAGCAUCAAAAAGAGCGCCUGUACCCUGUCCAGAAGUUUGCUGUUAAGGCAUAAACCCUUUGCAUACUAUGGAUCUGUCAAUUAUAUUGGCUUACUUUUUCUCAUCAAACAUCAAGUUGUUUGGAAACUGAAAAAAAAACAAA